GACAGAGGGUGCAAACGUUGUUCGGAAUUACUGGGCGUAAAGCGAGUGUAGGCGGUUUGGUAAGUCGGAUGUGAAGGCCCCGGGCUCAACCCGGGAAGUGCACUCGAUACUGCCAAGCUAGAGUAUCGGAGAGGUUGGUGGAAUUCUCGGUGUAGAGGUGAAAUUCGUAGAUAUCGGGAGGAACACCGGUGGCGAAGGCGGCCAACUGGACGAAUACUGACGCUGAGACUCGAAAGCGUGGGGAGCAAACAGG
rnacentral:rRNA from 1 species